rnacentral:rRNA from 1 species
GAUGAACGCUGGCGGCGUGCCUAACACAUGCAAGUCGAACGGGGUUCUAUGUCGGAAGUUUUCGGAUGGAAGAGAUAGGAUCCAGUGGCGGACGGGUGAGUAACACGUGGGUAACCUGCCUCAUAGAGGGGGAUAACAGAGAGAAAUCACUGCUAAUACCGCAUAAGCACACGGGAUCGCAUGAUCCUGGGUGAAAAGAUUUAUCGCUAUGAGAUGGACUCGCGUCUGAUUAGCUGGUUGGCGGGGUAAAGGCUCACCAAGGCGACGAUCAGUAGCCGAUCUGAGAGGAUGGCCGGCCACAUUGGGACUGAGACACGGCCCAGACUCCUACGGGAGGCAGCAGUGGGGGAUAUUGCACAAUGGAGGGAACUCUGAUGCAGCAACGCCGCGUGAGUGAAGAAGUAUUUCGGUAUGUAAAGCUCUAUCAGCAGGGAAGAUAAUGACAGUACCUGAAUAAGAAGCCCCGGCUAACUACGUGCCAGCAGCCGCGGUAAUACGUAGGGGGCAAGCGUUAUCCGGAUUUACUGGGUGUAAAGGGAGCGUAGACGGCGAAGCAAGUCUGAAGUGAAAAUCCGGGGCUCAACUCCGGAAGUGCUUUGGAAACUGUUUUGAUAGAGUGUCGGAGAGGUAAGUGGAAUUCCUGGUGUAGCGGUGAAAUGCGUAGAUAUCACGAAGAACACCGGAGGCGAAGGCGGCUUACUGGACGAUAACUGACGUUGAGGCUCGAAAGCGUGGGAAGCAAACAGG